rnacentral:rRNA from 1 species
GGAUCAAUAUAUCGGUCAUGCUUAGGUAUGUACUGGUAUUAUUGAUUUCUCCCUUCUGAAGAACCAUGAUGUCAUUUAUUUGAUGUCGUGGGGAAUCAGGACUGUUACUUUGAAAAAAUUAGAGUGUUUAAAGCAGGCUUUCGCUUGAAUACAUUAGCAUGGAAUAAUGAAAUAGGACGUUUGAUUCUAUUUUGUUGGUUUCUAGGAUCGACGUAAUGAUUAAUAGGGAUAGUUGGG